AAAGGAAUUGACGGGGACCCGCACAAGCGGUGGAGCAUGUGGUUUAAUUCGACGCAACGCGAAGAACCUUACCAGGGCUUGACAUCCCUCGCUAUUCGUGGAAACACGAAGUUUAAGCCUUCGGGUUUAACGAGGAGACAGGUGGUGCAUGGUUGUCGUCAGCUCGUGUCGUGAGAUGUUGGGUUAAGUCCCGCAACGAGCGCAACCCUUACAUUUAGUUACCAUCAUUAAGUUGGGGACUCUAAAUGAACUGUCGGUGACAAACCGGAGGAAGGUGGGGAUGACGUCAAAUCAUCAUGCCCUUUAUGUCCUGGGCUACACACGUGCUACAAUGGCUGGUACAGAGGGCAGCGAAGGAGCGAUCCGGAGCGAAUCCCAAAAAGCCGGUCUCAGUUCGGAUUGCAGGCUGCAACUCGCCUGCAUGAAGUCGGAAUCGCUAGUAAUCGCGAGUCAGCAUAUCGCGGUGAAUACGUUCCCGGGUCUUGUACACACCGCCCGU
rnacentral:rRNA from 1 species